AAAGCUCGUAGUUGAAGUUCUGGUCGUGGCGACCGGUCCGCCCCUCACGGGGUGUGCACCUGGUUUNUGCGUCCAUCCUCGGGGAGAGCAUAUCUGGCAUUCAGUUGUCGGGUGNGGGAUCCUCGUCAUUUACUGUGAGCAAAAUAGAGUGUUCAAAGCAGGCUUAGGCCGUUGAAUACAUUAGCAUGGA
rnacentral:rRNA from 1 species